GACGACGCUGGCGGCGUGCCUAACACAUGCAAGUCGAGCGAGUUAAUCUCCUUCGGGAGUGAAACUAGCGGCGGACGGGUGAGUAACACGUGGGCAACCUACCUCAUAGAGGGGAAUAGCCUUCCGAAAGGAAGAUUAAUACCGCAUAAGAUUGUAGCUUCGCAUGAAGUAGCAAUUAAAGGAGCAAUCCGCUAUGAGAUGGGCCCGUGGCGCAUUAGCUAGUUGGUGAGGUAACGGCUCACCAAGGCGACGAUGCGUAGCCGACCUGAGAGGGUGAUCGGCCACAUUGGGACUGAGACACGGCCCAGACUCCUACGGGAGGCAGCAGUGGGGAAUAUUGCACAAUGGGGGAAACCCUGAUGCAGCAACGCCGCGUGAGUGAUGACGGCCUUCGGGUUGUAAAGCUCUGUCUUCAGGGACGAUAAUGACGGUACCUGAGGAGGAAGCCACGGCUAACUACGUG
rnacentral:rRNA from 1 species